GAAACGACUGCUAAGACUGGAUAGGAGACAAGAAGGCAUCUUCUUGUUUUUAAAAGACCUAGCAAUAGGUAUGCUUAGGGAGGAGCUUGCGUCACAUUAGUUAGUUGGUGGGGUAAAGGCCUACCAAGACUAUGAUGUGUAGCCGGGCUGAGAGGUUGAACGGCCACAUUGGGACUGAGACACGGCCCAAACUCCUACGGGAGGCAGCAGUAGGGAAUUUUCGGCAAUGGAGGAAACUCUGACCGAGCAACGCCGCGUGAACGAUGAAGUAUUUCGGUACGUAAAGUUCUUUUAUUAGGGAAGAAUAAAUGAUGGAAAAAUCAUUCUGACGGUACCUAAUGAAUAAGCCCCGGCUAACUAUGUGCCAGCAGCCGCGGUAAUACAUAGGGGGCAAGCGUUAUCCGGAAUUAUUGGGCGUAAAGGGUGCGUAGGCGGUUAAAUAAGUUUAUGGUCUAAGUGCAAUGCUCAACAUUGUGAUGCUAUAAAAACUGUUUAGCUAGAGUAAGAUAGAGGCAAGUGGAAUUCCAUGUGUAGUGGUAAAAUGCGUAAAUAUAUGGAGGAACACCAGUAGCGAAGGCGGCUUGCUGGGUCUUUACUGACGCUGAGGCACGAAAGCGUGGGGAGCAAACAGGAUUAGAUACCCUGGUAGUCCACGCCGUAAACGAUGAGUACUAAACGUUGGGUAAAACCAGUGUUGAAGUUAACACAUUAAGUACUCCGCCUGAGUAGUACGUACGCAAGUAUGAAACUUAAAGGAAUUGACGGGACUCCGCACAAGCGGUGGAUCAUGUUGUUUAAUUCGAAGGUACCCGAAAAACCUCACCAGGUCUUGACAUGCUUCUGCAAAGCUGUAGAAACACAGUGGAGGUUAUCAGUUGCACAGGUGGUGCAUGGUUGUCGUCAGCUCGUGUCGUGAGAUGUUGGGUUAAGUCCCGCAACGAGCGCAACCCUUAUUGUUAGUUACCAGCACGUAAUGGUGGGGACUUUAGCAAGACUGCCAGUGAUAAAUUGGAGGAAGGUGGGGACGACGUCAAAUCAUCAUGCCCCUUAUGACCUGGGCUACAAACGUGAUACAAUGGCUGUUACAAAGGGUAGCUGAAGCGCAAGUUUUUGGCGAAUCUCAAAAAAACAGUCUCAGUUCGGAUUGAAGUCUGCAACUCGACUUCAUGAAGUUGGAAUCGCUAGUAAUCGCGAAUCAGCAUGUCGCGGCGAAUACGUUCUCGGGGUUUGUACACACCGCCCGUCA
rnacentral:rRNA from 1 species